rnacentral:rRNA from 1 species
GGAUUAGAUACCCUGGUAGUCCACGCCGUAAACGAUGUCGACUAGCCGUUGGGACCUUUAAGGACUUAGUGGCGCAGUUAACGCGAUAAGUCGACCGCCUGGGGAGUACGGCCGCAAGGUUAAAACUCAAAUGAAUUGACGGGGGCCCGCACAAGCGGUGGAGCAUGUGGUUUAAUUCGAUGCAACGCGAAGAACCUUACCUACCCUUGACAUCCAGAGAAGUUGGCAGAGAUGCCUUCGUGCCUUCGGGAGCUCUGAGACAGGUGCUGCAUGGCUGUCGUCAGCUCGUGCCG